UUUAUACUCCCUCCGUCUGGAAAUACUUGUCGUUAAAAUGGAUAAAAGGAGAUGUAUGUCGAUACAUCUUCUUUUAUCCAUUUUGAUGACGAGUAUUUUCGGACAGAGGGAGUAGCAA
rfam:Triticum aestivum genome assembly, contig: Triticum_aestivum_CS42_TGACv1_scaffold_019753_1AS